GACGAACGCUGGCGGCGUGCUUAACACAUGCAAGUCGAACGGAAAGGCCCUGCUUUUGUGGGGUGCUCGAGUGGCGAACGGGUGAGUAACACGUGAGUAACCUGCCCUUGACUUUGGGAUAACUUCAGGAAACUGGGGCUAAUACCGGAUAGGAGCUCCUGCUGCAUGGUGGGGGUUGGAAAGUUUCGGCGGUUGGGGAUGGACUCGCGGCUUAUCAGCUUGUUGGUGGGGUAGUGGCUUACCAAGGCUUUGACGGGUAGCCGGCCUGAGAGGGUGACCGGACACAUUGGGACUGGGAUACGGCCCAGACUCCUACGGGAGGCAGCAGUGGGGAAUAUUGCACAAUGGGCGGAAGCCUGAUGCAGCAACGCCGCGUGCGGGAUGACGGCCUUCGGGUUGUAAACCGCUUUCGCCUGUGACGAAGCGUGAGUGACGGUAAUGGGUAAAGAAGCACCGGCUAACUACGUG
rnacentral:rRNA from 1 species